rnacentral:misc_RNA from 1 species
GGGAAGAUGGGUGUGUUAAGGAAUGCAGUUGUUGAGAAAAAUGCUGAGGAAAAAAUCUGUAAUGCAGCUGAGUUUGUGAUAGUUGGUUUGGAUAUAUGUCAAAUGGUGAGUGAUUUGCAUUUAAGAGGAUUGGUUCUGGGUUUUUUGGGGCUUUCUUGUUUUGGUUUUGACAAGUUUGGCCGUGUUUAUGUUGAUAUUAGUGAAGUUUUGGCAACUGGAAGGAGAGUUUGCAAGCUACUCACAGAGGUUGUUGUUGGCAAGAGUGGAACUGCUAGUGAAGGUUUGGUGGUGAGAUUAAAAAAUAGCAUGGUGGAAGAUUGUAUUUUUGUUAGUCCAGAGGUAUUCUUUGAGUUGUCGAAACUGGGUGGCAUUGUGAUAGAUUUAGGCAGCUCAAGGUAUCAUGUUGGAUAUGGUUCUGAUAUUUGGUCAUUAGCUUGUGCAAUUAUUUCACUUCUAGUUGGGAAAUCUUUCGCUGAAGAGAUGCAGAAAUAUUUGAGUUAUCUGGUUAGUGCAGUAAGAGAUGAAAAAUGUCUUGAAUUUGUUAGAUGGUACAUGGAGUGGAG